rnacentral:lncRNA from 1 species
UCAGGAGACAGAUGGCUGAUAAAUUAGAGAAUAGAUCUGUAAUAACUCAUUUUAUAGGGUAUUUAAAAGAAUCAAUAGGAUACUACUUCUACUUUCCACAAGAUCACAAUAUGAUUGUGAGUCAGAAUAUCAUAUUCCUUAAAAAAUAAUUUAACCAAGAUAGUGGUAGUGGGAGGUUAGUUGAGCUCGAAGAGAAGAUCUUUGAAGAAUAAAGAACUAUAGAUCCUCAGGAAUCCAUUAUUCAUGAGCU